UGCUAGAUUAUGAAAAUGAAGAGUGCCAGCGUGAAUGUCUGAGGAAAUCAAGCUUCUCCAUGGGACCUGAUUAUUUCCCCUGGACAGUUGAUCCUAGCUCCAGCUACGUGUUGGUGCAGUGAAAUUUAAAUACGGAGAACAGGCUUGUACUGAUCAGAUAGGCAGAAAAGUCAGCAAUUUCCCAAAGAAGGUAUGAAGAAAAUAGCAGUGGUUGGAACACAUGCGAUGCCAUUGCCACAACAGACCCAAAGAUGGCAUCUUUUCCCAUGCCGGCCUGCUGGGUCAGAAGGACAAAGCGAGCCUGUGGAAGGACAAAGGAAGCCUGCAGUAGGACAGCGACACCUCCAUCACCUACUAAAUAAACGCAGCUAGAUCAAAAGUC